UACGGAGGGUGCAAGCGUUAUUCGGAAUUACUGGGCGUAAAGCGUGCGCAGGCGGUUCGGAAAGCAAGAUGUGAAAGCCCAGGGCUUAACCUUGGAACUGCAUUUCUAACUGUCGGACUAGAGUGUGGCAGAGGGAAGUGGAAUUUCGCGUGUAGCAGUGAAAUGCGUAGAUAUACGGAGGAACACCGAUGGCGAAGGCAGCCUCCUGGAAUAACACUGACGCUGAUGCACGAAAGCGUGGGGAGCAAACCGG
rnacentral:rRNA from 1 species